rnacentral:rRNA from 1 species
CGGUAAUACCAGCUCUCCGAGUGGUGUGGAUGUUUAUUGGGCCUAAAGCAUCCGUAGCUGGCCAAGUUAGUCCCUUGUUAAACCCACCGAAUUAAUCGUUGGCGUGCGGGGGAUACUGCUCGGCUAGGGGACGAGAGAGGCAGACGGUAUUUUCGGGGUAGGGGUGAAAUCCUAUAAUCCCGGGAAGACCACCAGUGGCGAAGGCUGUCGGCUAGAACGCG